UACUAUGAUGAUACACAAUUAACACAGACCUGUACUGAUUCUUCGGAAUCUGAAGAUAAAUUAAUUGUUGCCUUUUAGCUGACC
rfam:Pichia membranifaciens DNA, contig: CON171, strain: KS47-1.